AGCAUUUAGAAACACCAAUAGCCAAUGAAGUUAAUCUGAGGUGUGAUUAUUGCUAGUUGAAAACUAUCUCCCCAACAAGAUUUGACUUCAGCACAAUCAACCGAAGUAGUGUUAAUUUCUAAGAACCCUUCUUAAAGG